CGGGUGAGUAACACGUGAGCAACCUGCCUCGAAGACUGGGAUAACAGCGGGAAACCGCUGCUAAUACCGGAUAUCCCCACCGGGUCGCAUGGCCUGAUGAGGAAAUGAAUUUCGCUUCGAGAGGGGCUCGCGGGCUAUCAGGUUGUUGGUGAGGUAACGGCCCACCAAGCCUACGACGGCUAGCUGGUCUGAGAGGACGACCAGCCACACUGGGACUGAGACACGGCCCAGACUCCUACGGGAGGCAGCAGUGGGGAAUCUUGCGCAAUGGGCGAAAGCCUGACGCAGCAACGCCGCGUGCGGGAUGACGGCCUUCGGGUUGUAAACCGCUUUCAGCAGGGACGAAAUUGACGGUACCUGCAGAAGAAGCCCCGGCCAACUACGUGCCAGCAGCCGCGGUAAUACGUAGGGGGCGAGCGUUGUCCGGAUUCAUUGGGCGUAAAGCGCUUUAAGGCGGUUCGCUAAGUCGGGUGUGAAACCUCCAGGCUCAACCUGGAGACGCCACUCGAUACUGGCGUGACUAGAGUUCGGUAGGGGAUCACGGAAUUCCUGGUGUAGCGGUGAAAUGCGCAGAUAUCACGAGGAAC
rnacentral:rRNA from 1 species